UGCGGAGGAUCAUUACUGAAUUGUCAACACGAGUUGUUGCUGGUCCUCAAANGGGGGCAUGUGCACGCUCUGUUUACACAUCCACUCACACCUGUGCACCCUCUGUAGUUCUGUGGCUGGGGGACUCUGUCCUCCUGCUGUGGUUCUAUGUCUUUACACACACUCUGUAUUAAAGUCUCAUGGAAUGUAUGCCGCGUUUAACGCAAUAAAAUACAACUUUCAGCAACGGAUCUCUUGGCUCUCGCAUCGAUGAAGAACGCAGCGAAAUGCGAUAAGUAAUGUGAAUUGCAGAAUUCAGUGAAUCAUCGAAUCUUUGAACGCACCUUGCGCCCUUUGGCUAUUCCGAAGGGCAUGCCUGUUUGAGUAUCAUGAACACCUCAACUCUCAUGGUUUGCCAUGAUGAGCUUGGACUUUGGGGGACUUGCUGGCCUGCAGUCAGCUCCUCUCAAAUGAAUCAGCUUUCCAGUGUUUGGUGGCAUCACGGGUGUGAUAAAUAUCUACGCUUGUGGUUUGCUGCUGGGUAACCNUCANCGAUGGGGGUUUGCUGGGGCUCAUAAANGUCUCUCCUCAGCGAAGACAGCUUUGUGAAUGUUUGAUCUCAAAUCAGGUAGGACUACCCGCUGAACUUAAGCAUAUCAAUA
rnacentral:sRNA from 1 species